ACAAACCAGAAACCUCUGCAAGCAGGGUUACUGAAUGAUGAAAAACAGGAGGACAUGGCCAAAAAAUGGAUGUGCUGAAAACAGCUGAGGAAGAUGCCAGAACCAAAUGAAUUAUCUGCUAAUCACAGGUGUAUGUGUUUUCCACAAGGAAUGGCUUUAUUAAAAAAUAAAAUAUGACUAGAUAAUUAUUCA